GGGGAUGUAAUGGUUUCGACGGGGAUUUUCGAAAUGUGGGUAGCCAUUGGUAGCGGUACUACCUUAAAAACCAAAAACGUUUAUAAAUUUAAACGACAACGAUAAUUUUGCAUUUGCUGCUUAAUUAAAGCAGCUGUCAACCCUAAGUUGCUUACCGCUUAGGAUGUUUGGCAUCGAUUAGGUGAGGUACUUUCCCGCCCAUGUUUCUAAGCGGGGAAAGAUCCUAGAAACUACCCUUUUUAUAUUUUUUUUAGCUUAUUAUAUUAAAGGGGAAUUUUAAAAACUAAAUAUAAUGGUAGAAGCCUGCGUGGGUAGGUUUUCGGACACGGGUUCGAUUCCCGUCAUCUCCAUCU
rnacentral:tmRNA from 1 species